UACGUAGGGUGCAAGCGUUGUCCGGAAUUAUUGGGCGUAAAGAGCUCGUAGGCGGUCUGUCGCGUCGGCUGUGAAAUCCCGGAGCUCAACUCCGGGCCUGCAGUCGAUACGGGCGGACUCGAGUUCGGCAGGGGAGACUGGAAUUCCUGGUGUAGCGGUGAAAUGCGCAGAUAUCAGGAGGAACACCGGUGGCGAAGGCGGGUCUCUGGGCCGAUACUGACGCUGAGGAGCGAAAGCGUGGGGAGCGAACAGG
rnacentral:rRNA from 1 species